rnacentral:rRNA from 1 species
ACGCUGGCGGCAGGCCUAACACAUGCAAGUCGAGCGGUAGAGAGAAGCUUGCUUCUCUUGAGAGCGGCGGACGGGUGAGUAAUGCCUAGGAAUCUGCCUGGUAGUGGGGGAUAACGUUCGGAAACGGACGCUAAUACCGCAUACGUCCUACGGGAGAAAGCAGGGGACCUUCGGGCCUUGCGCUAUCAGAUGAGCCUAGGUCGGAUUAGCUAGUUGGUGGGGUAAUGGCUCACCAAGGCGACGAUCCGUAACUGGUCUGAGAGGAUGAUCAGUCACACUGGAACUGAGACACGGUCCAGACUCCUACGGGAGGCAGCAGUGGGGAAUAUUGGACAAUGGGCGAAAGCCUGAUCCAGCCAUGCCGCGUGUGUGAAGAAGGUCUUCGGAUUGUAAAGCACUUUAAGUUGGGAGGAAGGGCAGUAAAUUGAUACUUUGCUGUUUUGACGUUACCGACAGAAUAAGCACCGGCUAACUCUGUGCCAGCAGCCGCGGUAAUACAGAGGGUGCAAGCGUUAAUCGGAAUUACUGGGCGUAAAGCGCGCGUAGGUGGUUCGUUAAGUUGGAUGUGAAAUCCCCGGGCUCAACCUGGGAACUGCAUUCAAAACUGACGAGCUAGAGUAUGGUAGGGGGUGGUGGAAUUUCCUGUGUAGCGGUGAAAUGCGUAGAUAUAGGAAGGAACACCAGUGGCGAAGGCGACCACCUGGACUAAUACUGACACUGAGGUGCGAAAGCGUGGGGAGCAAAC